GACGUAGGGCGCGAGCGUUGUCCGGAUUUAUUGGGCGUAAAGAGCUCGUAGGCGGCUUGUCGCGUCGUUCGUGAAAACCUGCAGCUCAACUGCAGGCUUGCGGUCGAUACGGGCAGGCUAGAGUUCGGUAGGGGAGACUGGAAUUCCUGGUGUAGCGGUGAAAUGCGCAGAUAUCGGGAGGAACACCCGUGGCGAAGGCGGCCAGCUGGGAUACACCUGACGCUGAGACACGAAGGCGUGGGGAGCGAACAGG
rnacentral:rRNA from 1 species